rnacentral:rRNA from 1 species
AGCGAACGCUGGCGGCAGGCCUAACACAUGCAAGUCGAACGAACUCUUCGGAGUUAGUGGCGGACGGGUGAGUAACACGUGGGAACGUGCCUUUUGGUUCGGAAUAACUCAGGGAAACUUGUGCUAAUACCGAAUGUGCCCUUCGGGGGAAAGAUUUAUCGCCAUUAGAGCGGCCCGCGUCUGAUUAGCUAGUUGGUGAGGUAACGGCUCACCAAGGCGACGUUCAGUAGCUGGUCUGAGAGGAUGACCAGCCACACUGGGACUGAGACACGGCCCAGACUCCUACGGGAGGCAGCAGUGGGGAAUCUUGCGCAAUGGGCGAAAGCCUGACGCAGCCAUGCCGCGUGAAUGAUGAAGGUCUUAGGAUUGUAAAAUUCUUUCACCGGGGACGAUAAUGACGGUACCCGGAGAAGAAGCCCCGGCUAACUUCGUG